AACGUACGCUGGCGGCACGCCUAACACAUGCAAGUCGAACGAAGUAGCAAUACUUAGUGGCAGACGGGUGAGUAACAUGUAGGUAUCUGCCCUUUGGCCUGGAAUAACACGAGGAAACUUGUGCUAAUACCGGAUAAGUCUUUACGGAGAAAGCUUUAUGCACCAUUGGAUGAGCCUGCACUUGAUUAGUUUGUUGGUGGGGUAAUGGCCUACCAAGACUGUGAUCAAUAGCUGAUUUGAGAGGAUGAUCAGCCACAUUGGGACUGAGACACGGCCCAAACUCCUACGGGAGGCAGCAGUGGGGAAUCUUGCACAAUGGAGGAAACUCUGAUGCAGCGAUGCCGCGUGAGUGAAGAAGGCCUUUGGGUUGUAAAGCUCUUUCGUCGGGGAAGAAAAUGACUGUACCCGAAUAAGAAGGUCCGGCUAACUUCGUGCCAGCAGCCGCGGUAAUACGAAGGGACCUAGCGUAGUUCGGAAUUACUGGGCUUAAAGAGUUCGUAGGUGGUUGAAAAAGUUAGUGGUGAAAUCCCAGAGCUUAACUCUGGAACUGCCAUUAAAACUUUUCAGCUAGAGUAUGAUAGAGGAAAGCAGAAUUUCUAGUGUAGAGGUGAAAUUCGUAGAUAUUAGAAAGAAUACCAAUUGCGAAGGCAGCUCUCUGGCUCAUUACUGA
rnacentral:rRNA from 1 species